GACGAACGCUGGCGGCGUGCCUAAUACAUGCAAGUCGAACGCAGUGGGGACGGGUGCGUAACACGUGGGUAACCUCCCAUAAGAGGGGAUAACACUUGGAAACAGGUGCUAAACCGAUACUGAUGGAUGGACCCGCGGUGGAUUAGCCAGUUGGUGGGGUAACGGCUCACCAAGGCCACGAUGCAUAGCCGGCCCGGGAUGUUGACCGGCCACACUGGGACUGAGACACGGUCCAGAAUCCUACGGGAGGCAGCAGUAGGGAAUUUUUCGCAAUGGGCGAAAGUCUGACCCAGGCAUGCCUCGUGUAUGAAGAAGGUUUUCGGGUUGUAAAAUCUUUUUAGUUGGGAAGCGGUAUCUAACCAGAAAGCCACGGCUAACUACGUGCCAGCAGCCGCGGUAAUUC
rnacentral:rRNA from 1 species